CUUCACACAACCCCUGGCAGCAGAGUCUCUGCCCUUUAAGGUCAGAAUAUUAUUGCUUUUACUGUCAGAAGUUUAAAUCUUCAGGGGAAGUGAAGAGCAAUGCUCAAGUAAUGUUUACAGCUAAGGAGGCUCCAUAGAGGAUAGCCUGAAGGACAUGAAGUCCAUUCAUCUCUUCAGAUAGUUUAGAUUACGUCUCAAGAUCAAGG
rnacentral:lncRNA from 1 species